UACGUAGGGGGCAAGCGUUGUCCGGAAUUAUUGGGCGUAAAGAGCGUGUAGGCGGCCAGAUAAGUCUGCUGUGAAAUCUCGAGGCUCAACUUCGAGCUGUCGGUGGAAACUAUCUGGCUAGAGUCCGGAAGAGGAGAAUGGAGUUCCUGGUGUAGCGGUGAAAUGCGCAGAUAUCAGGAAGACCACCAGUGGCGAAGGCGGCUUGCCGGAACGCGCUCGACGGUGAGGGAUGAAAGCUGGGGGAGCAAACCGG
rnacentral:rRNA from 1 species